UUUAAAAUGACAAUAGAGAUGUUUGAAAAAGGCUGCGUGAAGAGACGGUAUAGGGAGGGACUGCAGAAAGACUUAAAGACCCAUGGAAAGCUGAGAGUAAACUAUGUUAAAUAAGCUGGCUUUUCCAGCAGUGGACGCCCAGCCGAGUGCUUCACCUUAUAGGUCGGCCUCGACACAGGUCGACAGAGGUUUCCUGAGCUGCAGGGACAACCUCAUCAGCUGAAAUGUUCAGAGUCGUGCUGUUUAUCUGGUGCCUGCAUCGAGUGUCUUCGGUCUGUGUUGUG